UGGGGAAUAUUGCACAAUGGGCGCAAGCCUGAUGCAGCCAUGCCGCGUGUGUGAAGAAGGCCUUCGGGUUGUAAAGCACUUUCAGCGAGGAGGAAGGUGGUGAGCUUAAUACGCUCAUCAAUUGACGUUACUCGCAGAAGAAGCACCGGCUAACUCCGUGCCAGCAGCCGCGGUAAUACGGAGGGUGCAAGCGUUAAUCGGAAUUACUGGGCGUAAAGCGCACGCAGGCGGUUUGUUAAGUCAGAUGUGAAAAUCCCCGGGCUCAACCUGGGAACUGCAUUGAAACUGGCAAGCUAGAGUCUCGUAGAGGGGGUAGAAUUCCAGGUGGUAGCGGUGCAAAUGCGUAGAGAUCUGGAGGAAUACCGGUGGCGAAGGCGGCCCCCUGGACGAAGACUGACCGCUCAGGUGCGAAAGCGU
rnacentral:rRNA from 1 species